CAGAAACACAAAGCAAAUAAAGCGCGGCGGCCGGAUGCGCACGCUUAUUACUCAAGGCUUGAUUUGCAGUUGAUACGGGAACACCGAGGAUCCAGAUCGAGUUCCUAGGUGCAGAUAUCAGUCCAAAUCAAGACCUGACGCACACGAAUCGAAAGAGAAGAAUCAAGCAGUGGCGAUAAGAUGCUUCGGGCGAACAUGGUUUCAGUUGUGGCCGUGCUUCUUGGCGUCCUUCUUCUCGUGGCGCUCGUGGAAGGCGUAGCCAGCGGAGCCCACGGCGGCGACGGCGGCCACCUCCUCCUUGAUCCGGUGGCCGUGCUCGUUCUCGGGGUCCUUCUUGGCCUUGUGCUUCUCAUGCUGCAGUCACACGCAGGAACAGAUGCAUAUGCAAAUCAAGAGCUGAAUCAUGCGUGGAUAUACAUGCAGUUCAAAGAAAUUAAUUGGAUUACUGCUGACCAGAGCGUAUGCGCCGGCGGCAAUGGCACCAAGGCCGCCGAGCUGCUCCAUGUGCUUGUGGUGCUUCUCCUUCUUCUCGUAGUCGACCUCGCCGGAGCUCUCCUCCUCCUUGUGGUGGUGGAACAGGUGGUGGUGGUGCUUCUCCUCGGCCAUGACUUGCUUGUCAAAGAAAGAUUCAAAUAUAUGUUUCUCUGCAAAGUUAUCAGGGGGGAGAUGAUCGUCGGCUUCUUGGAU
rnacentral:lncRNA from 1 species